rnacentral:rRNA from 1 species
UACGUAGGAGGCAAGCGUUGUCCGGAAUUACUGGGCGUAAAGCGCGUGUAGGCGGUCUGAAUAGUCUGCUGUGAAAGCGCCUGGCUUAACCGGGCGAGGUCGGCGGAAACUCUCAGACUGGAGGCCGGUAGAGGGGGGUGGAAUUCCCGGUGUAGUGGUGAAAUGCGCAGAUAUCAGGAGGAACACCGAUGGCGAAGGCAGGUCUCUGGGCCACUACUGACGCUGAGAAGCGAAAGCAUGGGGAGCGAACAGG